AAAGAUUAAGCCAUGCAUGUCUAAGCACAUGCCUUAAUACGGUGAAGCCGCGAAUAGCUCAUUACAACAGCCACCGUUUACUAGAAUAUAGUUAUCCUACUUGGAUAACUGUGGCAAUUCUAGAGCUAAUACAUGCAAAAAAGCUCUGACCGCGAGGAACGAGCGCAUUUAUUAGAAUAAAAACCAAUCGGGUUUCGGCCCGUAAUUUGGUGAAUCUGAAUAACUUUGCCAAUCGCACAGUCCUAGUACUGGCGAUGUAUCUUUCAAGUGUCUGCCUUAUCAACUUUCGAUGGUAGGUUAUACGCCUACCAUGGUAGUAACGGGUAACGGAGAAUAAGGGUUCGACUCCGGAGAGGGAGCCUGAGAAACGGCUACCACAUCCAAGGAAGGCAGCAGGCGCGCAAAUUACCCACUUCCAGAACGGAGAGGUAGUGACGAAAAAUAACGAGACAGUCCUCUUCGAGGUCUGUCAUCGGAAUGGGUACAAUUUAAAUCCUUUAACGAGGAUCUAUUGGAGGGCAAGUCUGGUGCCAGCAGCCGCGGUAAUUCCAGCUCCAAUAGCGUAUAUUAAAGUUGUUGCGGUUAAAACGCUCGUAGUUGGAUCUGCGGCCUCGGAGAACGGUCCCCCGAAAGGGUGGUCACUGUCUCUCCUAGCCUAAAUUCGAGUCGUCUCUAGGUGCUCUUUACCGAGUGCCUAGAGUGACUAGAACGUUUACUUUGAAAAAAUUAGAGUGCUUAAAGCAGGCGAAAUAGCCUGAAUAAGGUGCAUGGAAUAAUGGAAUAGGACCUCGGUUCUAUUUUGUUGGUUUUCGGAACCCGAGGUAAUGAUUAAGAGGAACAGACGGGGGCAUUCGUAUUCCGGCGCUAGAGGUGAAAUUCUUGGACCGCCGGAAGACGGACAACUGCGAAAGCAUUUGCCAAGAAUG
rnacentral:rRNA from 1 species